rnacentral:rRNA from 1 species
AGUGAAUGCUGGCGGUAGGCCUAACACAUGCAAGUCGAACGGCAGCACAGUAAGAGCUUGCUCUUACGGGUGGCGAGUGGCGGACGGGUGAGGAAUACAUCGGAAUCUACUUUUUCGUGGGGGAUAACGUAGGGAAACUUACGCUAAUACCGCAUACGACCUACGGGUGAAAGCAGGGGAUCUUCGGACCUUGCGCGAUUGAAUGAGCCGAUGUCGGAUUAGCUAGUUGGCGGGGUAAAGGCCCACCAAGGCGACGAUCCGUAGCUGGUCUGAGAGGAUGAUCAGCCACACUGGAACUGAGACACGGUCCAGACUCCUACGGGAGGCAGCAGUGGGGAAUAUUGGACAAUGGGCGCAAGCCUGAUCCAGCCAUACCGCGUGGGUGAAGAAGGCCUUCGGGUUGUAAAGCCCUUUUGUUGGGAAAGAAAAGCAGCAGGUUAAUACCCCGCUGUUCCGACGGUACCCAAAGAAUAAGCGCCGGCUAACUUCGUG